GUAGGGAAUCUUGCGCAAUGGGCGAAAGCCUGACGCAGCCAUGCCGCGUGAAUGAUGAAGGUCUUAGGAUUGUAAAAUUCUUUCACCGGGGACGAUAAUGACGGUACCCGGAGAAGAAGCCCCGGCUAACUUCGUGCCAGCAGCCGCGGUAAUACGAAGGGGGCUAGCGUUGCUCGGAAUUACUGGGCGUAAAGGGAGCGUAGGCGGAUAGUUUAGUCAGAGGUGAAAGCCCAGGGCUCAACCUUGGAAUUGCCUUUGAUACUGGCUAUCUUGAGUAUGGAAGAGGUAUGUGGAACUCCGAGUGUAGAGGUGAAAUUCGUAGAUAUUCGGAAGAACACCAGUGGCGAAGGCGACAUACUGGUCCAUUACUGACGCUGAGGCGCGAAAGCGUGGGGAGCAAACAGGAUUAGAUACCCGUGUAGUCC
rnacentral:rRNA from 1 species